UAUUAUUAUUAUUUAAUAGCCUGCACCCACCAAAUAGUAUAAUCGAUAAAUGUACAUCGCUUUAUGGAGAAACAUACCAUCGCUAUAAGGAACUAACUUUGUUCCAAGUGCUAGGCAAGGUGAAGGAAGCAUUGCUAUUAACACCAGUCAAUUCGUCACUUCAUGUUUGUACGCUUGAAAAAUCCAGUUGAAUGAAUUGGCCCGUCCCCAUCGCUGCGACGUCCGCUCCUCUGCAAACAUGGAAGAUAGCAGCACAAGCCCACGCAAUCAAUUGCUUCUUUUAACGUUCAGGACCCCCGGAGAGCAGCGGGAUUCUGAAUUCUCAGACAUGUGGCUCCUGGAGUAAGCCUCCAGCUUCCGCUCGCUCUUCUGAUGGCCGACUUCGCUCUCCCUCAGCCGCAGGAUCUCCACAGGCUUCCGGCCUUUCACAGAUUCAUGUGCUGAGCCGAGGGACCCGGAGGAAUCGAUCAAAAGAAGCUGCGGCCCAGCGGAGGGAACCGUCUGUGAAUGUCACACUGAGCCGCUCUGCCUCCACACCCAGCUGUCUCCGAGGAGCUAAACCAAGGCAAUGUCAAAUCACAAUAUGCUUAUGAUAACACAUACACAGGGAACGUACAGAAUGAUUUUUAAUUGGUUAUAAAAAUUAUAAACUGAAACCUUCUGCAGGUAAGCUAAAAAGGUAGUUGUUGAACUUGUG